GUUUAUUCAAGAUAUAAGUAGACAGAAUUCUUUUUAAUCAAAAUAUGAAUGACAUAAUUUUUACAGAAAAGAGACGCUAGCAGUAUCCCUGAAGCACCUCGUGUAUCAACACAUAAGACCUAUGGUGAAAAGCAAGCGGUCUCAUCAGAUUCAAGAUUAAAAACACCUUAUAAUAAGUUCGAGCCUUAUACUCCAGAUCCGGAUUAUCCUGGGGCCAAGGAAUAUUAUAGAACAAAUCAAACACAUGAACAAAUUCGGAUCGACGUCAGGAGAGAUAGAAACGAUGAGCCUGAUCCUGAUUAUUAAGAAAUUGAAGUAAGUAUAUGCUGUAUAUUUUAAAGGAAAUUUAACUAUGUGAUCCUCACGAACACGAUUUAGCAACUAGAAUUGUUAUUUCAAUUGGCGAUAUAUAUCAUGAAGACUUUCCAGAAUAAGCUUCGAGUCGCAAUUGUGUUGGAACGACCUCCACAACGAAGUAGGCAAGUUGCAUAUUGUUUGAAGGUCCGAGAAAUUUGGUGGCACUUUUUCCUCCAGCAUUUUUUGUCGCAUUAAAUGAAUUUAGAGGUCAUCAGUAUGUUUCAUGUUGGAGUACAAAGAAAAUUAUGUAUAGAUUGUGUAGAUGUAUGUAUACUUCAUUUGGAGAUACUUUGGACAAGUUGAUUAAAAUGAUUUCUAGUCUCUAAGAGAUUGACUUUUACAAACAAUAUCGAGAGAUAUACUGUAAAACGUUGAGUUUUUUGUUUGUGAAAUUUUGUAAUGCAUCAAGAUUAAAGGGUUUUUUUCUUUACCUUAUGUCAGAAUGUUUUUACUUUUGUUUACAGAGUACUUUUAAGGCCAUGAUAUUGAUUUGUUUCUUAAUGAGUUUAU